rnacentral:lncRNA from 1 species
UGCCUGUGAUACUGACAGUCAUGAAUCAGGAAGGCUGGAGACCGUAUGAAACAGGUGAUAAUAAUAGACUUUAUUUACUUCAAUUCAAUUUGUUCAUUUAUUCAUUUACUCAUUUAUUCAACAUUUAUUAAGCACUUAGGUGCCAGAAAUGACAUCAAGCACUACUGGAAAACAAGAGUGGAAUAAAAUAAUGUCUUUGAACUUUAACCAAAGAAAAUCCUAGUUACAGCUUUAAGUGUCAGAAUGUAUUGUUUCAGGGAGUGAUGAUGAGAGAGAAAAAACCCAGAGCUGUCAAAAUCAGGGCUGCUGCCCACCUGACUAGCUACCUGGCUUUACAACCAUUCUCAGGGGCCUCGGAUAGGGAGAGCACAUGCUAAUAGCAAACAUGGGUCUUCUAAACUUCAAUGACAUUCCUUUCAUGCGCUGCUCUUUCUGAAUGUAGAAAACUAAAUAAGUCCCAGGAUGAAUGCUGUUACUUCCGAUAGCUAAACUGCACCAUGUUCAUGUUGCUCAGCACAUAAAAGAUUUCUGUUUACUAAUUCAGUUUUGGAGAUCAAAGUAUUUCAUCACAUAGGGAUUAUCAUUUUCAUAUAAAGUUGAACAAAAUUCAUUGUAAAAUAGUUGGGCAAAAUGACGAGCAUCUGGAAAAUUUAUCUUUUCAGCAUUUAGUACCUGUGUGUAAUCUGUAACACUUUGGCAACUGAAGAGAACAGAUGGCAUCUUUCUGACUGCAUGAGGUGGUGGACAGUGAGCAUUAGUAAGCUGGCAGAGACCCACUUGAGAUUAAUUCAUAGGAGAAAAAGAAAUCAAAUAUUAGCACCCAAAUAGCUUGUCAGUAAAUUUUGCUUUUUUCCCCCUUUAAGGAAACUGGAAACAGUUGGAUAUAUUUGCUUUUCUUCUUUACCUACCAGUAAAUACAUCUAAAGUGCAGAGGUAUGUUUUGUUCAAUCCACUUGGUUACUCGACUAAUUCAUGAAUAAGAAUGUAUUGUAUGCCGGCCGGGUACGGUGGCUCACGCCUGUAAUCCCAGCACUUUGAGAGGUCGAGGCGGGCGGAUCACGAGGUCAGGAGAUUGAGACCAUCCUGGCUAACACGGUGAAACCUUGUCUCUACUAAAAACACAAAAAAAUUAGCCGGGCAUGGUGGCGGGUGCCUGUAGUCCCAGCUACUCGGGAGGCUGAGACAGGAGAAUGGCGUGAACCCGGGAGACAGAGCUUGCAGUGAACCGAGAUCGCACCACCGCACUCCAGCCUGGGCGACAGAGGGAGACUCCGUCUCAAAAAAAAAAAAAAAAAAAAA